rnacentral:lncRNA from 1 species
GGCGGAUCUGUACAACGGGGUUGCAAAAGGGCCGGUGGAAGGAGCUGCAGGAAGCAGCGAUCAGAGGAUUUCAGCAUGUCUGAAGGGCGUGGGAUUGAUAAGAGGGCUGCCUGGAAUGCUGCUGGAGAUGCAACAGAUACCUCCCCCUCCAGGCUCGUCUCUGGUGACAUCAUGGGAGCACAGUGGGCUCAGUGGAUGCCCAAGUGAGUGGACAAAGUCUUACCCUUGCCAAGUUUUCCGUGGUCAAGGAUGAAGACGGAGGCUGGCCAAGCUGUGGAGAUGAGGUAAGCCUGUUCUGGAUGGAAACACAGACCUGUGGCUCCAGCUGCUGCCUGAA